UAACCUGCCCAAGAGAUCGGGAUAACACCUGGAAACAGAUGCUAAUACCGGAUAACAACAGAUGAUGCCUAUCAACUGUUUAAAAGAUGGUUCUGCUAUCACUCUUGGAUGGACCUGCGGUGCAUUAGCUAAUUGGUAGGGUAACGGCCUACCAAGGCGAUGAUGCAUAGCCGAGUUGAGAGACUGAUCGGCCACAUUGGGACUGAGACACGGCCCAAACUCCUACGGGAGGCAGCAGCG
rnacentral:rRNA from 1 species